UAAAAGAUUUAAGGAGGGGGGGGGGGGGGUCCUACCAUUUCUGUUCAGGAAAUCUUGUAGUUUUUAUUGUUAUUUAACAGUAUUAAGUGAAAAAAAGAAACAAAACAACAACAAAAAAAAACCCAAACCCAGCAGAAGAGAACUUUUUGUAUAUUUCAUUUUAACUUUAUUUGUGAAUAGUGAUCGUGGCAUGUUUGGGGGUGUUUUAUUAAUAUUUCAUUGAUAUUGGUAAAUUUGAAUUGGGAUAUCAUCUUUUUUUAAUUAAUUAUUAUUAUUAUUAUUAUUGUUAUUAUUAUUAUUAUUUUCUGGAAAAGAGAGAGAGAGAGAGAAAAAAACUCAAUGUGUAAAAUGGUGACUCUUGGACCACUACUGCUCUUCAGCGUUUGUAAACUGGUUUUAUGUUCAACCUUGUAGACCCUAACAACCUGCUGUCCUUUCUAACUGACUGACCUGUAUGAAUAUUGUACUUUUGGAAGUAUAAAUAAUAUGUGGAAUUCCUUUUUUUUGCGGGGGGGAAGGAUUUGUUUGGAAAUUUCUAAUCACAAAGGCCCUGACUUGUUAAAAACAACAGACUUGGAAGCGAGCUUUGCGGUUGCUUGGGGUGUUGUUGGAAACUAAGCUACCUGUAGUGAGGAGGCAUCAGGUUUAGCUUUGGUUGCUGGGAGUAGUGGCAGUGAUAAAGUGAUGGGACUCAGCUGUGACUGAGGCUGGUCAGGAUCACACCAGAAACAUGGUCCAUAGUCUAAGUGGUAGCAAGCAAGCCCUGCACGUCACACAGGAUCAGAAACCUUACCUAGGUCUAGGAGCCUGAGAUGUCUCUCAAGUACAUGCAUAGACCUAGGUCUAGGAGCCUGAGAUGUGUCUCAGAUACAUGCCUAGACCUAGGUCUAGGAGCCUGAGAUGUGUCUCAGAUACAUGCAUGGACCUAGGUCUAGGAGCCUGAGAUGUCUCUAAGAUACAUGCAUAGACCUAGGUCUAGGAGCCUGAGAUGUCUCUCAGAUACAUGCAUGGACCUAGGUCUAGGAGCCUGAGAUGUCUUUAAGAUACAUGCAUAGACCUAGGUCUAGGAGCCUGGGAUGUCUCUAAGAUACAUGCAUAGACCUAGGUCUAGGAGCCUGAGAUGUCUCAGAUACAUGCCUAGACCUAGGUCUAGGAGCCUGAGAUGUGUCUCAGAUA